UACUGCGGCAACUACCACGUUAGCACACCCCCCAAGAGCAAGCACAAUGAGUUUCAAUCAAUUCUCAAAUAUGUGAUUGGUUUAAUUUAAUAUUGGAUCCACACCAAAUACUAUGCAACAUCACAUACCAAACAUAUCCUAAAAGAAAUCGAUACAGAUUAUAGAAUACCCAAAAUUAUACAUAUAAUAAAUUCCGUAAGAAGUAUAGAAAAUUGUUUUCGUGUGUUUGAAACGAGUAGCACAUUAGUACAUUAAAACAUCCAUAAUUGAUUUAUUUAUAAGAGCGUAAACAACUAGUUAAAUUACAUUGAACUUACUAAUAUAAUAUCCUUGGAGAAAUAAGAUACUUCAUGAUCGAUAUCUCCAUCAACCGACAACGUGCAUGAGAAGUAGAUCUCCAACAACAAUUUCUUUGUAACUCUUUUACAUUAUCUGGGUUGUCUCUUUCAGUUGGUCCUUCGAUCUUCUGCGGUAUGAAAUUCUUCAAAUAUUAGUGGUAGAGACUUCAAUACGUAAAAAAUGUAAAAACUAACAACAACAAAAAAAAGAGAGUUGUUGAUUGGGCCAGUUUUUUUUACGAUGCCAAGGGGAGCAUAUGAAUAAUAUUCUCUCAUUAUGUUUUUUGUAUAUAGAUUUGAUUUACUGCAUGUCUGAGAUGACAUUGUUUCUUUGUAUAUAAAUUUGAUUUUUGGUAUGUCUAAGAUACUCGUUUAUCCAUAUAUUUUAAGUU
rnacentral:lncRNA from 1 species